rnacentral:lncRNA from 1 species
AUUCAGACGAGGAAAGUGAUGAGGAAUAUGGUGUUCCCAGACCUCAAGAAAAGCCUGCUAGCCAGCCAAUUCCUUCCGCAGUUCCUUCUGUAGUGGCUGCAGAUAAAUCUCCACUUAAAGAUAUCCUCAAACAGGAAACUGUUGUGGAGCUAAAGACAGAAGAAUUUGCAAGUUCAACUAAGACAAAUAUUUCCACUGUGGUCUCGCAAACUUCCGAUUUGAUAACAAGUUCAUUCCCUGAAGAUAAACCUAAACCAUUUGACUUGAAAGACGAUAAACCAUUUGACCUGAAAGACGACAAGGUCCCAGUUAAACCUGAGGACCAACCCAAGUCUCCUCUUGACUCAGUUAAGCCAAGUCACAAAGUGUAUUCAGACGAUGAAAGUGAUGAGGAAUAUGGUGUUCCAAGAAUCCAGGAAAAGCCCGCUAGCCAGCCAAUUCCUUCGGCAGUUCCUUCUGUAGUGGCUGCAGAUAAAUCUCCACUUAAAGAUAUCCUCAAACAGGAAACUGUUGUGAAGCUAAAGACAGAAGAAUUUGCAAGUUCAACUAAGACAAAUAUUGCCACUGUGGUCUCGCAAACUUCCGAUUUGAUAACAAGUUCAUUCCCUGAAGAUAAACCUAAACCAUUUGACUUGAAAGACGAUAAACCAGUUGACCUGAAAGACGACAAGGUCCCAGCUAAACCUGAGGACAAACCCAAGUCUCCUCUUGAC